rnacentral:rRNA from 1 species
GUGCCAGCCGCUGCGGUAAUACGGAGGGUGCAAGCGUUAAUCGGAAUUACUGGGCGUAAAGCGCACGCAGGCGGUCUGUCAAGUCGGAUGUGAAAUCCCCGGGCUCAACCCGGGAACUGCAUUCGAAACUGGCAGGCUGGAGUCUCGUAGAGGGGGUAGAUUCCAGGUGUAGCGGUGAAAUGCGUAGAGAUCUGGAGGAUACCGGUGGCGAAGGCCGGCCCCCUGGACGAAGACUGACGCUCAGGUGCGGAAAGCGGUGGGAGCGAAACAGGAUUAGAUACCC